rnacentral:rRNA from 1 species
UACGGGGGGGGCAAGCGUUGUUCGGAGUUACUGGGCGUAAAGGGCGCGUAGGUGGCCAACUAAGUCAGACGUGAAAUCCCUCAGCUUAACUGGGGAACUGCGUCUGAUACUGGAUGGCUUGGAUCCGGGAGAGGGAUGCGGAAUUCCAGGUGUAGCGGUGAAAUGCGUAGAUAUCUGGAGGAACACCGGUGGCGAAGGCGGCAUCCUGGACCGGUAUUGACGCUGAGGAGCGAAAGCCAGGGGAGCAAACGGG